GAUGAACGCUAGCGGCAGGCUUAAUACAUGCAAGUCGUACGGGAUCCGAGGUAGCAAUACUUUGGUGAGAGUGGCGCACGGGUGCGUAACACGUAUGCAACCUACCUAUAACCGGGACACAACCUCGAGAAAUUGUGGCUAAUAUCCCAUAACACUGCGAAAUGGCAUCAUUUUGCAGUUAAAACGUCGGUGGUUAUAGCUGGGCAUGCGCGACAUUAGCUAGUUGGUGAGGUAACGGCCCACCAAGGCUACGAUGUCUAGGGGUUCUGAGAGGAUUAUCCCCCACACUGGUACUGAGACACGGACCAGACUCCUACGGGAGGCAGCAGUAAGGAAUAUUGGUCAAUGGGCGCAAGCCUGAACCAGCCAUGCCGCGUGAAGGAUGACGGCCCUAUGGGUUGUAAACUUCUUUUGUACGGGAAAAAACCACCGGUCGUGUAUCGGUGCUGAUGGUACCGUAAGAAUAAGCAUCGGCUAACUCCGUGCCAGCCGCCGCAGUAA
rnacentral:rRNA from 1 species